GUUCCGACCCGCAUGAAAGGCGUAAUGAUUUGGGCGCUGUCUCAACAAUAGACUCGGUGAAAUUUAAAUUCCAGUGAAGAUGCUGGGUACCCGCGACAGGACGGAAAGACCCCGUGGAGCUUUACUGUAGCUUGAUAUUGAAUGUUUGUGCUGCAUGUGCAGGAUAGGUAGGAGACUUUGAAGUCGGAACGCUAGUUUCGAUUGAGUCACCCUUGAGAUACUACCCCUGUUGUAUGAACGUUCUAACUCUGAUCAGUUAUCCUGAUCGAAGACAGUGUCUGGCAGGCAGUUUGACUGGGGCGGUCGCCUCCUAAAAGAUAACGGAGGCGCUCAAAGGUUUGCUCAGAAUGGUUGGAAAUCAUUCGUAGCGUGUAAAGGCAUAAGCAAGCUUGACUGUGAGACUGACAAGUCGAGCAGGUACGAAAGUAGGACUUAGUGAUCCGGUGGUUCCGUAUGGAAGGGCCAUCGCUCAACGGACAAAAGCUACCCCGGGGAUAACAGGC
rnacentral:rRNA from 1 species